GAUUUAAUAGUGAAGUUCACGUCAUUAUUUCAUAAUGAAAAUAUUUUUUAGACUU
rnacentral:tRNA from 1 species